rnacentral:rRNA from 1 species
AUUGAACGCUGGCGGAAUGCUUUACACAUGCAAGUCGAACGGUAGAGGGGCAACCCUCGAGAGUGGCGAACGGGUGAGUAAUAUAUCGGAACGUGCCCAGUCGUGGGGAUAACGUAGCGAAAGUUACGCUAAUACCGCAUACGAUCUACGGAUGAAAGCGGGGGACUCGUAAGAGCCUCGCGCGAUUGGAGCGGCCGAUAUCAGAUUAGGUAGUUGGUGAGGUAAAGGCUCACCAAGCCAACGAUCUGUAGCUGGUCUGAGAGGACGACCAGCCACACUGGAACUGAGACACGGUCCAGACUCCUACGGGAGGCAGCAGUGGGGAAUUUUGGACAAUGGACGCAAGUCUGAUCCAGCCAUUCCGCGUGCAGGACGAAGGCCUUCGGGUUGUAAACUGCUUUUGUACAGAACGAAAAGGUCUCUAUUAAUACUAGGGGCUCAUGACGGUACUGUAAGAAUAAGCACCGGCUAACUACGUG